ACUGCUCAGUAACACGUGGACAAUCUGCCCUUGGGUCUGGGAUAACUCCGGGAAACUGGAGAUAAUACCAGAUAGGUCAUAGAUGCUGGAAUGCUCUAUGGCCCAAAGCUCCGGCGCCCAAGGAUGAGUCUGCGGCCUAUCAGGUUGUAGUGGGCGUAAUGGACCCACUAGCCUACGACGGGUACGGGUUGUGAGAGCAAGAGCCCGGAGAUGGAUUCUGAGACAUGAAUCCAGGCCCUACGGGGCGCAGCAGGCGCGAAACCUUUACAAUGCGCGCAAGCGCGAUAAGGGGACCUCGAGUGUUCCUACCUAGUAGGAACUGUCCAGUUGUCUAAAAAACAACUGUUAGCAAGAGCCGGGCAAGACCGGUGCCAGCCGCCGCGGUAACACCGGCGGCUCGAGUGGUGACCGCUUUUAUUGGGUCUAAAGGGUCUGUAGCCGGUCUAACAAGUUCUUUGGAAAAUCUGGUCGCUUAACGAUCAGGCUGCUAGGGGAUACUGUUAGACUUGGGACCGGGAGAGGCUAGAGGUACUUUAGGGGUAGGGGUGAAAUCCUGUGAUCCUUAAAGGACCACCAGUGGCGAAGGCGUCUAGCUAGAACGGAUCCGACGGUGAGGGACGAAAGCUGGGGGCACGAACCGGAUUAGAUACCCGGGUAGUCCCAGCCGUAAACGAUGCGAGCUAGGUGUCAGUUUUACUGCGAGUAAAAUUGGUGCCGUAGGGAAGCCGUGAAGCUCGCCACCUGGGAAGUACGGCCGCAAGGCUGAAACUUAAAGGAAUUGGCGGGGGAGCACUACAACGGGUGGAGCCUGCGGUUUAAUUGGA
rnacentral:rRNA from 1 species